UGGGGAAUUUUGGACAAUGGGCGCAAGCCUGAUCCAGCAAUGCCGCGUGCAGGAUGAAGGCCUUCGGGUUGUAAACUGCUUUUGUACGGAGCGAAAAGGCUUUAACUAAUACUUAGGGCUAAUGACGGUACCGUAAGAAUAAGCACCGGCUAACUACGUGCCAGCAGCCGCGGUAAUACGGAGGAUGCAAGCGUUAUCCGGAUUUAUUAGGUAUAAAGGGUGCGUAGGCGGGCCUGUUAGUCAGUGGUGAAAUACUACGGCUUAACCGUAGAACUGCCAUUGAUACUGCAGGUCUUGAGUACAGUUGAGGUAGGCGGAAUGUGUGGUGUAGCGGUGAAAUGCUUAGAUAUCACACAGAACACCGAUUGCGAAGGCAGCUUACUAAGUUGUAACUGACGCUGAUGCACGAAAGCAUGGGGAGCAAACAGG
rnacentral:rRNA from 1 species